AGAGUUUGAUCCUGGCUCAGAACGAACGCUGGCGGCAUGCCUAACACAUGCAAGUCGAACGAACCCUUCGGGGGUUAGUGGCGCACGGGUGCGUAACACGUGGGAAUCUGCCCUUUGCUUCGGAAUAACAGUUAGAAAUGACUGCUAAUACCGGAUGAUGUCGUAAGACCAAAGAUUUAUCGGCAAAGGAUGAGCCCGCGUAGGAUUAGGUAGUUGGUGGGGUAAAGGCCUACCAAGCCGACGAUCCUUAGCUGGUCUGAGAGGAUGAUCAGCCACACUGGGACUGAGACACGGCCCAGACUCCUACGGGAGGCAGCAGUGGGGAAUAUUGGACAAUGGGCGAAAGCCUGAUCCAGCAAUGCCGCGUGAGUGAUGAAGGCCUUCGGGUUGUAAAGCUCUUUUACCAGGGAUGAUAAUGACAGUACCUGGAGAAUAAGCUCCGGCUAACUCCGUG
rnacentral:rRNA from 1 species